AUUGAACGCUGGCGGCAGGCCUAACACAUGCAAGUCGAACGAGUGGCGGACGGGUGAGUAACGCGUGGUAACCUGCCUACUUGAGGGGGAUAACUAUUGGAAACGAUAGCUAAUUCCGCAUACUAGUAGUUGGACCUGCGUUGUAUUAGCUAGUAGGUACGGUAAUGGCCUACCUAGGCGACGAGACAUAGCCGACCUGAGAGGGUGAGCGGCCAGACUGGGACUGAGACACGGCCAAGACUCCUACGGGAGGCAGAAGUGGGGAAUAUUGCACAAUGGGCGAAAGCCUGAUGCAGCCAUGCCGCGUGUAUGAAGAAGGCCUUCGGGUUGUAAAGUACUUUCAGCGGGGAGGCGUUACCCGCAGAGGAAGCACCGGCUAACUCCGUGCCAGCAGCCGCGGUAAUAC
rnacentral:rRNA from 1 species